UUGUAAAAUACUCUGUAUAUACCAGAGCCCUGUUGUUUUUUCCCCCUUAUUUGGAUCUGCUCUUCGAUUGAAUUGGAAAAAAUAAAGCGAUAAACCCUAGCUCUUCGUUCUUUGUGUGUUCGUUCUUUUUCAUCAUCUUCCUCGUUCUCUUCCAUCCUCUUCCUCAUUUUGAAGCAGUCCAAUUGGAGAUUGGGCCUCAAAAUUGGAGAUAAUAGAAAUUGGCGAUUGGGUUGUGUGCACCCGAAUUACUUUUCUGUUAGCCAUGUUAAUGUGGAAUUACUUUUCUGUUGUUUUCACUGAUAUGGGUUGUGUGCACCCGAAUUGAAGUUUUGUUGUAUAGGUGACAAGAAAGUUGGUAAUGAUCCAUUGACUGCAUUCGGCUUUGGUGGAUGCAAAAUGACCAAUCAAGUACAAAAGUUCGAGUUUGUAGAAAGUAUAACCAGCUGAAACAUCACUGCUGCCAUUAUUUCUCUGUUUGUACAAUGCGACUCCUUCAAAUUACAUUUCUAUGAUUGUUACAGACUUUGGCAUGGUCAAUUUUCUGUCAGUUGAAAUUGAAUACAUGAACUGCAACCUAUUUUUGAGGGGGUUUUGGAGUAAAAAAGUAACUGAGGUGUUGUACAGUAAAGAAAAUAUUCAUCUUGAAGUUUGCCAGCCCUUCCGGUAAGCAAGUGCAGACCAAGCACGCUCUGCUGUUGGUUCUGGGCAAUCUUCUCUUGGAAUCAAAGAUCUACAUUGGUGAGAGUGGACCACAAAUAUGUAUGUUUGAGUAGGACAAAUAUUUCAUGGUUACUGAUCGGAAGACACAAAUGCUGGGUAUAUUAACAAAUGAAACAAAGUGCCUGAGGUGUGAGACCGUCACAACUAGAAAUGCGACAUUCUUCGUUCUAAGCCGUGAUAUAGAACAGAACAACUCCAUCCAAGGAUGGUGCAUAUAUUCAAGAAUUACAAGCUACUUUAAAUAUGUGAAGAUUCACAGGGGUUUUGGCACAUAAUUAUUAUAUAGGUUUUGAAAAAUAAAGUUAUCGGAUCGUGAUCGCAGGAUAAUUUUUUAUUUUAAUGGAUUUAGUUUUAGAACCUAUAUUUUUUUUACUAUUCAGACAACUGUAAUAGAUAUUAUGCUUAUAGAAUUAAGCUACUUGAAAUGUAUACGUUUUUUGAACUUAUUUGUUAUGAAAAUCUUAUUAUACGCA